GAUGAACGCUGGCGGCGUGCCUAAUACAUGCAAGUCGAGCGAACAGACGAGGAGCUUGCUCCUCUGACGUUAGCGGCGGACGGGUGAGUAACACGUGGAUAACCUACCUAUAAGACUGGGAUAACUUCGGGAAACCGGAGCUAAGACCGGAUAAUAUAUUGAACCGCAUGGUUCAAUAGUGAAAGACGGUUUUGCUGUCACUUAUAGAUGGAUCCGCGCCGCAUUAGCUAGUUGGUAAGGUAACGGCUUACCAAGGCAACGAUGCGUAGCCGACCUGAGAGGGUGAUCGGCCACACUGGAACUGAGACACGGUCCAGACUCCUACGGGAGGCAGCAGUAGGGAAUCUUCCGCAAUGGGCGAAAGCCUGACGGAGCAACGCCGCGUGAGUGAUGAAGGUCUUCGGAUCGUAAAACUCUGUUAUUAGGGAAGAACAAAUGUGUAAGUAACUAUGCACGUCUUGACGGUACCUAAUCAGAAAGCCACGGCUAACUACGUG
rnacentral:rRNA from 1 species